GUCUUAUUGGAUUUAAUAAUAAGUUUAUUCUGCCCAUUGAAUAAAAAUUUAAAAGGCUGCAGUAUAUUGACUGUACAAAGGUAGCAAAAUCAAUAGUUUUUUAAUUGAAAACUUGAAUGAAAGAAUUGAUAAAAUAUAAACUGUCUCAAAUUAAUAAAUUUGAAUUUAAAUUGAAAGUUAAAAUGCUUUUAUAAAUUUAUUAGACGAUAAGACCCUAAGAAUUUUAAAAUAUAAAUUUAUAUAAAAAAUUUUGUAAUUUUUAAAUAUAUAAAUUUAUAUUUUUUUAUUGGGAGGGUAAUUAAAUUUUUUAACUUUAAUUUUUUAUUAACAUAGAUGAAUGAAUAUUAAUGAUAAUUUUUAUAAUUAUAAGAAUAAAUUACCUUAGGGAUAACAGCGUAAUAAUUUUGGAAAGUUCAUAUUAAUAAAAUUGAUUGCGACCUCGAUGUUGAAUUAAAAUAAAAAUUAGGUGAAGAUGCUUAAAUUUUUAGUCUGUUCGACUAUUAAAAUUUUACA
rnacentral:rRNA from 1 species